rnacentral:rRNA from 1 species
AACGAACGCUGGCGGCAUGCCUAACACAUGCAAGUCGAACGAGACCUUCGGGUCUAGUGGCGCACGGGUGCGUAACGCGUGGGAACCUGCCUUUAGGUUCGGAAUAACUCAGAGAAAUUUGAGCUAAUACCGGAUGAUGUCUUCGGACCAAAGAUUUAUCGCCUUUCGAUGGGCCCGCGUUGGAUUAGCUCGUUGGUGGGGUAAAGGCCUACCAAGGCGACGAUCCAUAGCUGGUCAGAGAGGAUGAUCAGCCACACUGGGACUGAGACACGGCCCAGACUCCUACGGGAGGGAGCAGUGGGGAAUAUUGGAAAAUGGGGGAAAGCAUGAUCCAGCAAGGCUGGGUGAGUGAUGAAGGCCUUAGGGUUGUAAAGCGCUUUUACCCGAGAUGAUAAUGACAGUAUCGGGAGAAUAAGCCCCGGCUAACUCCGUG